rnacentral:rRNA from 1 species
UACAGAGACUGCAAGCGUUAUUCGGAUUUACUGGGCGUAAAGAGCGCGCAGGCGGUCGUUCAAGUCGCGUGUGAAAGCCCCCCGGCUCAACUGGGGAGGGUCACGCGAUACUGAUCGACUCGAAGGCAGGAGAGGGUAGUGGAAUUCCAGGUGUAGCGGUGAAAUGCGUAGAUAUCUGGAGGAACACCGGUGGCGAAGGCGACGUCCUGGACCGGCAUUGACGCUGAGGCGCGAAAGCCAGGGGAGCAAACGGG